CCAAAAUCCAAAAAGUUGAAUUUUUGGUCAGCUCUCGGGUAGCCUUCAGCAGGCUGUGUACCGGUACGGGCUUGGUGGCUGUACCGGUACGGGGUUGAUGGCUGUACCGGUACGGGACCGCGUACCGGUACACAGACGAUUUUGAGGCAAACCCGAGGCUCGGGUUUGGCCAUUUCGUGGGUUGUGUACCGGUACACAAAUCCGUGUACCGGUACGCAGUACAGAUUUUGGCUGUUUUGUUGAGGGGUGUUUUUGCAAUUGUUGCAACGCCUAUAUAAGUCACCCCAGCCCUCAUG
rnacentral:lncRNA from 1 species